rnacentral:SRP_RNA from 1 species
GGAGGCCGGUGGCGGACGUCGCCACUCGCCAACCGGGUCAGGUCCGGAAGGAAGCAGCCCUAACGAGCGGGCACGGGUCGCCUCGCCGGU